GCCUCCAAUCUUCUCCUCAGCCAUAACCUGCGUUUUCUCCUUCCAAGAGACCAGCCCGCCGCAAGGUAUGGAGACCGACGCUCGCAGGUUUCGAAACAUGGUUUCUUUCAGCCACCGGGUUCCCUUCAAACCCCGAUUUCGACGAAGCUAAAGGGAAUCCGCGGCUCAAUCUCAAGGUAAGUCCCCUUUUUCCUUUCUUUUUUUUUUUGAAUGUAAAAAUGAUAAAAAUAAAAACGGAGGAAAUAACAAAUAGAAUCGAGGAACAAAGAUCACCUUCUCAAGAAGUGACUCUCUGAUUUUUAAGCAAACUGUAUUGUGUAUGUAUUGUGUGUUUGUAUUCUCUGUGAAUGUACGUUACAACUGAUGAAAUCCCCUGGCUUUAUAGCUGAAUCGGGUAAAAGAAAAAUGAAAAAAUGGAAAUACAAUAUUCCUCGUUGUUUUUUGUCUGUUUUUGCUACGUGGUUGUUCCUUUCUUCACAGGUACAGGUGUGCGUCGGCGUACGGGGUGUGGCGCCAGGAGGCUGAGGCAUACGGAGGCAUGGAGCUACCGUUCAGUUGCUGUUGCAGCGCAGGAGAAAGGGGGUGGCUUAGGGUUUGUCUGGGUUUAAUGUUCUGGGCCUAUUGGGCCCUGUAAAUUGUAAUUUUGGGUUUGUAAUAUUUUGGGUUUAAAAUUGGGUUAUGUAACUUGGACUGAUGGACUUUUAUUGGACUGUUAAUAAAACUUGGGUUUUAAAUUUAUUUAUUUAUUUAUUUAUUUUUACUAUUUAGUU
rnacentral:lncRNA from 1 species